GGGGAUGCAAUGGUUUCGACGGGGGUUGUGAGCCUUCGUAAGCGAGUAGCGGUGCGGGGCCGCUAUAAAAUCCGCAACCUUAAAAUUAAACGACAACAAUACUGUUGCUGUUGCUGCCUAAUUAAGGCGGCCGUCUUUACCGGGAGUACCGCGGCCCGGAUAAAGGCGUCGAUUAGCGGUGCACGUGAACCGGGUUACGCCCUUACCCCGGUCACGGUUUAAGGGCUGCCAAAGGCCAGAGCCUGCCGAUAGGCGCUGUCCUGCGGGAGAUGCAAAAUACCGGCUACACUCGUAGAAAGCGCUGGCAAGUGACUUUCGGACAGGGGUUCGACUCCCCUCAUCUCCACCA
rnacentral:tmRNA from 2 species